rnacentral:rRNA from 2 species
UGGGGAAUUUUGCACAAUGGGGGAAACCCUGAUGCAGCGACGCCGCGUGAUUUAGAAGGCCUUCGGGUUGUAAAAAUCUUUUCUAUGGGAAGAAAAUGACAGUACCAUAGGAAUAAGGACCGGCUAAUUACGUGCCAGCAGCCGCGGUAAUACGUAAGGUCCGAGCGUUGUCCGGAAUCAUUGGGCGUAAAGGGUACGUAGGCGGGUAAGCAAGUUAGAAGUGAAAUCCUGUAGCUCAACUACAGUAAGCUUUUAAAACUGCUCAUCUUGAGAUAUGGAAGGGAAAGUGGAAUUCCUAGUGUAGCGGUGAAAUGCGCAGAUAUUAGGGGGAAUACCGGUGGCGAAGGCGACUUUCUGGCCAUAAUCUGACGCUGAGGUACGAAAGCGUGGGUAGCAAACAGG